AGUUCGUGGAGUGAUCUGUCUGCUUAAUUGCGUUUCAAAAUUUAACUUGAGGACCGGGUUUUGGUUUGGCUAGUGGUUCUACGAUGACUGUGAACUGUCAUGUCUUCGGAUGUGCGACUAUUGGUCUAGGAUCACAUGACUUGCCCCUGGGACUCUUUUGAACGCAACGGACGUGAUUGCAACCCCUUGUUGAGAUUAGAGAUAGUCUCGAUAUUCACUGGACAAACUGGCUGCUUUAUGCAGUCUUGUUGAAUGGUGGAUAAACUCGGGGGACUGCUGACUAUAACCAUUUCUCAAAACAGAGGAAGGUUGCGGCAAUAACAGGUCUGUGAUGCCCUCAGAUGUCCCGGGCUGCACACGUGCUACAAUGAGUGGCGCAAUGUGCUAAUGUUUAAGGGAUAAGAGUGUGGUCAGUAGAACGUCGGGAUUUCCCCUGACGUCUCCCCCGCACGAUUAUCAGCCUUCCCUUAACAGGGCGGGCAACCUUUUCAAAAUACUGGUUUGAUGUUAAAGUAUUGAGUCGUUUUUUUUGGAUGGUGGUUUGUUAACCAAUACCAUCCGGCAACUGCUCGCGAGUUUGUGGUUCUGGCGACUCA
rnacentral:rRNA from 1 species